AGUAUAAACAGCAAACAACAUAAAUUUAUAAAACCCCAAACCGAAAAGAAAAAUGCACAACCAAGCCAUGCACACGACACGAACAAAGCCCCAAAACCUCGCAAACCUAAAAGCCGCAUCCCAGUAAUAACUUGAGUGGAAAUUCCGACAACACCAAUGAGGUAGAAGUCGUGCAACAAGAACAUAAAACCAAAACCUCGGGACGGAUCACGAUAACUUCUAUCGUUUGUUUCGAUCAGAAUCGAUCACGAUCAACACUAACAAAGCAGCAGGAGAAGUUACCGAUGAGGCAGGAGGGAAGACGCUGCUGAAGUAGCCAGAGGAUGCGGAUGAGGAGGAAGCAGAGGAAGCCGCGGCCUCCUUCCGGCCGAAAAGAUCAUCGGCAAUUCUCGAAGAAGAAGAAGAAGAAGAAGAAGAAGAAGAAGAAGACGAAGCGGUGGGUUUCUUGCCCUCCAUCCUUUGCUUUCCUCUUGGUAUCCCAAGAAACAAAACUACCUCAACCCAGGGUAUUUCUCUAUCACCAAACCCAGAACCCAGCA
rnacentral:lncRNA from 1 species